AGAAACAAGGAGUCCGUCACCCUGCGCUGUCCUCACCCUGUGGAGGGUAAGGUGACGUGGAGCAGAGAGAACAGAGGAAGGAUAGUUGACAUACUCACCGCUGACGGUAACAGCGUGAGAAGACUCAUCAAUGACACACGAUUCAUGUCAUCAGCUGAUAAGUGGCUGAUCAUCCUGAGGCCUGCUGCGUCAGACUCUGGGAGAUACCUGUGUAAUAACAAACCAGCGGUGCAGCUGACGGUGAUCUCUCCAGGACAAUCAGCUUCUACACCCUUUCCAGCAAACGCAACAUCAGCACCACCCACAAACUCAGACCAGCAGCUGCUUCUUGGGUUGAUUUAUGGAACAGCCGCUUCAUUCAUCUGCAUCAUCA